AAUCUGAGCCUCGGAACCUCAUAUGUUGACCAAAGUCAACUCUUUAUCAAAAUUUCACAACUUUAGCAACUUAGGACCUCAAUUCUUCGUUUCAACUCCAAAUUCAACUCCGUAACUUCACACAGACCCGUUUCGACAUUCUAAAACUGCCGGAAUCGACGGAAAUCCGAUCCGAGUCCCGAAACUCCAAAUGACUCGAAAAAGCACUUUUUAACCAACUUUAACUCAUAAAAACUCAACUUCUCAAAAACUCAACUUUUUACCAACUUUUCCUCAAACCAACUUUACAACCACAAAACAUGGGACUCGAGGCAACUACCGAAAGGGC
rnacentral:lncRNA from 1 species